AUUGAACGCUGGCGGCAUGCCUUACACAUGCAAGUCGAACGGUAACAGGUCUUCGGAUGCUGACGAGUGGCGAACGGGUGAGUAAUACAUCGGAACGUGCCUAGUAGUGGGGGAUAACUACUCGAAAGAGUGGCUAAUACCGUAUGAGAUCUCAGGAUGAAAGCAGGGGAUCGCAAGACCUUGUGCUACUCGAGCGGCCGAUGGCGGAUUAGGUAGUUGGUGGGAUAAAAGCUUACCAAGCCGACGAUCUGUAGCUGGUCUGAGAGGACGAUCAGCCACACUGGGACUGAGACACGGCCCAGACUCCUACGGGAGGCAGCAGUGGGGAAUUUUGGACAAUGGGCGCAAGCCUGAUCCAGCAAUGCCGCGUGCAGGAUGAAGGCCUUCGGGUUGUAAACUGCUUUUGUACGGAACGAAAAGCCCUGGGUUAAUACCCUGGGGUCAUGACGGUACCGUAAGAAUAAGCACCGGCUAACUACGUGCCAGCAGCCGCAGUAACAC
rnacentral:rRNA from 1 species